GACGAACGCUGGCGGCGUGCUUAACACAUGCAAGUCGAACGGAAAGGCCCUGCUUUUGUGGGGUGCUCGAUUGGCGAACGGGUGAGUAACACGUGUGUAACCUGCCCUUGUCUUUGGGGUAACUUCAGGAAACUGCGGCUAAUAUCGGAUAGGAGCUCCUGCUGCAUGGUGGGGGUUGGAAAGUUUCGGCUGUUUGGGAUGGACUCGCGGCUUAUCAGCUUGAUGGUGGGGUAGUGGCUUACCAAGGCUUUGACGGGUAGCCGGCCUGAGAGGGUGACCGGGCACAAUGGGACUGAGAGACGGCCCAGACUCCUACGGGAGGCAGAAGUGGGGAGUAUUGCACAAUGGGCGGGAGCCUGAUGCAGCAACGCCGCGUGCGGGAUGACGGCCUUCGGGUUGUAAACCGCUUUCGCCUGUAACGAAGCGUGAGUGACGGUAAUGGGUAAAGAAGCACCGGCUAACUACGUG
rnacentral:rRNA from 1 species